rnacentral:lncRNA from 1 species
UUUAAUUUUAGAUAAUUAAGUAGGUUUUUAACUAGUUUUUUCAUGAAAUUAUUUUGAAAAUAGCUUGCAGCUGUACGAAGAAAUUUAAAAAAUAAAAUACAAGAUCUCUGAAUGUGAAUAAUAUCUACUUUCAGCUAAAGCAACUUUAGUUUUUUUGUUUACAAUUUUUAAACCUUUUUAAAAAUAUUUUUGAGCGUAGAAAUUUUUUAAUUUAAAUUUAUUCAGCAAGAUAAACCUUUUAUCUAUUUUGUAUUUUUUGCUUAUAUGAGGAUUCAAUUUUUUUUGCAGGGUUAAAAGAAAAUCUUAAUCAUUAAACUUGUGUAACCUGUUGCUAUGGUGCUCUUUUCCGAUUAUUCCAACCAUAUUCGCGUUUCAACAAAGAAACUUACCUGUUGUAAAAAAGGGAAAAGUAAACUAAAGCAGAAAGACUUUUUCUUGGAACUCGAUAUAAAUAUUUUUUGUGUUUCGUGUUUAAAUUUUUUUUUUAAUGUUUUCAGCUUGAGAUUGUUAAAAUCAAUAUGAAUAUAUUUAAAAUAUUUUUUACUUAAAGAUUGAAAGAA